GAGAGAGACCAAACCUGCCCGGACCGCGCCCGACCUCGUCAUGUUCUCAGAAGCUAAGCAGGGAUUUUGAGCCUGGUUAGUACUUGGAUGGGAGACCAUCACCAGGGCCUUGCCAGCCGCUUUGG
rnacentral:rRNA from 1 species